rnacentral:rRNA from 1 species
GCUCCAAUAGCGUAUAUUAAAGUUGUUGCAGUUAAAAAGCUCGUAGUUGGAUUUCUGGUGGGAGUGACCGGUCCGUCCUCACGGGAUGAGUACUAGUUGUCGUCUCUUGCCAUCCUUGGGGAGAGCGUGCCUGGCAUUAGGUUGUCGGGCUCGGGAUCCCCAUCCUUUACUGUGAAAAAAUUAGAGUGUUUAAAGCAGGC